rnacentral:rRNA from 1 species
GAUGAACGCUGGCGGCGUGCUUAACACAUGCAAGUCGAACGAAGCACUUUAUUUGAUUUGCUUCGGGACUGAUUAUUUUGUGACUGAGUGGCGGACGGGUGAGUAACGCGUGGGUAACCUGCCUUGUACAGGGGGAUAACAGUUGGAAACGGCUGCUAAUACCGCAUAAGCGCACAGCAUCGCAUGAUGCAGUGUGAAAAACUCCGGUGGUAUAAGAUGGACCCGCGUUGGAUUAGCUAGUUGGUGAGGUAACGGCCCACCAAGGCGACGAUCCAUAGCCGACCUGAGAGGGUGACCGGCCACAUUGGGACUGAGACACGGCCCAAACUCCUACGGGAGGCAGCAGUGGGGAAUAUUGCACAAUGGGCGAAAGCCUGAUGCAGCGACGCCGCGUGAGCGAAGAAGUAUUUCGGUAUGUAAAGCUCUAUCAGCAGGGAAGAUAAUGACGGUACCUGACUAAGAAGCACCGGCUAAAUACGUG